UUGCCCCAAAUUAAAUUAAACCCUAAACUCCUUUGCCUCAGCUGCACCGCCACCCCUCUUUCAUCCCUUUCAGUAUAACACUACUCACCCACAAUCCCUAAUUCAGUGCUGCUACCCCCUCACACACCUUCACCUCAGCUCCACACAUACUCAGCCUCACUACCCUCUCAUUAAUACAACACACACGCACAGCUCCGCACUCACCGACGGAAGAGAAGGAAGGGAGCGCAGCGCCAGGGGCGGAGAAGCUCGCUGCCGUCAACCCUGCCGUCGCCGUCCGUGAAGUCCGCGCUAGUGCCGUCGCGGAGGAACGUCCCUGUUGUUGCAAACUAUUGCCAUCGCCGAUGAGGAUCCAUAGCUGGGAAGCAUGUCGCCGUUGCUGCUGUCCGUCCAGCCGAGCUGUCGCCGUCGCUGCCGGUCCGCCUUGGAGCCCUGGCCGUCGUCGAUGGGGUUGAAUCCGCCGCCGGCUUGAGCUAAGGGAAAGGAAACCCGUAUAGGGGAGAGAGCGGGGGGCUUCGUGGUAGCUCCAUCGCACCGCUCCUGCCAAGCCACCGCCAAGUCCUGCCGCCGAUCGGAACCCUAGCCACCGCCGUUGAAGAUGCCACCACCGCCACUGCUGUCAAUUGGGAUCAAAAUUGUUGCUGUGUUCCCAGAGCUGUCAUGGAAGUGGUUGAUUCGGUCCCAAUUCCUCCAUUGUAGAGACUGUAAGCUUUAAUCCUUGUCUUGGUUCUAUCCUGUUUCUCUGUUUUUCUCCUAUUCUAGCUAAGGGAACCUAUGUCUCUGUUUAGUACUGCUACUCUGUUUUCCUGUUUGUUGUUAGAACCAUUAUGGUGGUGUUGAGGCCAUCAGGAAACUGUUAGAGCUGCUGUUGACAAGUUUGAUAUUGCUACCUCAAUUCUGGGUUGUGUUCACUUUUGAUACCCAUUCAAUUUGGAUUUUCUAUUCUGCUGUAAUUACCAUUACCGUCGUGGAUUUAUUGCCACUGCUGCCAUGAAACGAAAAGGGAAGGGGAUCGUCGCGUUUGAUUUCCUUGGAUUUCGACACUUUGAGUGAUAGGUUCGAAGAGUCAGUUUGAAGCUGUGGGUGAUUAUUGGCUUUAUAUAUGAGUUAAGUUGCUUUUAUAGUGUUCCCUCGCUUGUUGCUUAAGAUUGUAUUUUAUACAGAGGGAUAGGUGUUGUAUCUGAACAAUUCUUUUGAUUUACUUGUAUAAGAUUUGUUAUUAUAGGUAAUUAUGUUAUUAUUAAUAUUUGGUGAUGCUUAAUGUAUGAUUUUUAACGAAUA